rnacentral:rRNA from 1 species
UUGAUGGCGACCGGCGCACGGGGUGCGUAACGCGUAUGCAACCUACCUUUUACAGGGGCAUAACACUGAGAAAUUGGUACUAAUUCCCCAUAAUAUCUGAGACGGCAUCGUUUUGGGUUGAAAACUCCGGUGGUAAAAGAUGGGCAUGCGUUGUAUUAGCUAGUUGGUGAGGUAACGGCUCACCAAGGCGACGAUACAUAGGGGGACUGAGAGGUUAACCCCCCACAUUGGUACUGAGACACGGACCAAACUCCUACGGGAGGCAGCAG